rnacentral:tRNA from 1 species
GCGGGCGUGGCGGAACUGGCAGACGCUCACGGCUUAGGACCGUGUGCUGCAAGGCAUGGGGGUUCAAGUCCCUCCGCCCGCACCA